UUUUUCUUUUUUUUUUUUUUUUUUUGAGACGGAGUCUCGCGCUGUCACCCAGGCUGGAGUGCAGUGGCCGGAUCUCAGCUCACUGCAAGCUCCGCCUCCUGGGUUCACGCCAUUCUCCUGCCUCAGCCUCCCGAGUAGCUGGGAUUACAGGCGUCCGCCACCUCGCCCAGCUAGUUUUUUGUAUUUUUUAGUAGAGACGGGGUUUCACCAUGUUAACCAGGAUGGUCUCUAUCUCCUGACCUCGUGAUCCGCCCGUCUCGGCCUCCCAAAGUGCUGGGAUUACAGGCUUGAGCCACUGCGCCCGGCCAACUUUUUCUUUUUUUUGAGAUGUAGUUUUUCUCUUGUCCUCCAGGCUGGAGUGGGAUGGCGCUAUCUCGGCUCACUGCAACCUCCACCUCCUGGGUUCAAGCGAUUCUCCUGCCUCAGCCUCCCUAGCAGCUGGGAUUACAGGCAUCUGCCACCAUGCCUGGCUAAUUUCUUUGUAUUUUUAGUAGAGGCAGGGUUUCGCCAUGUUGGCCAGGCUGGUCUUGAACUCCUGACCUCAGGUGAUCUGCCCGCCUCGGCCUCCCAAAGUGCUGGGAUUACAGGCAUGAGCCACUGUGCCUGGCCAGUUAGCAACAGUUUUAAGGCUGUUGGUACUUACUGAUAAGUCACCUUCUAAGAUUUGUUACACAGAUUUACUCUUGGAAAAGCAGGGGUUUCUUCGUUUGUUUGUUUAGACAGAGUCACAUUCUGUCGCCCAGGCUAGAGUGCAGCGGCAUGAUCUCAGCUCACUGCAACCUCCGCCUCCCAAGUUCAAGUGAUUCUCCUGCCUCAGCCUCCCGAGUAGCUGGGAUUACAGGUGCCCACCACCAUGCCCAGCUAAUUUUGUUGUAUUUUUAUUAGAGACGGGGUUUCACCAUGUUGGCCAGCCAGACUGGUCUCGAACUCCUGACCUCAGGUGAUCCACUGCCUUGGCCUCCCAAAGUGAUGGGAUUACAGGUGUGAGCCACUGCGCCCGGCCUGGAAAAGCAAAUUUUAAAUGGAGAAGAGUAGGAAAGGCAUUUCAAAAGUCACACUGGUAUAACACAUAAAAGAUGUGAAGGUGAGUAGUCAUUCAUAAUAAUGAAUUUGGGGAAAGAUGAAUAGAAAAGUCUAAGUAGAGCAAAAAGUAAAACUAAAACUGAACAUUAUAGCUAUAUCACAGGCUUUCAGGUAUUUUCUUGUAACAUUGGAACCAUUUAAGGUUUUUGAGAAGUAAUGUGAAUUACAGCAAUUGUGUUCAUGUUCAAUAAAAUGAAAUGCUGAGCAUUUUCUUUUUGCCAAGUUUCUAAACUGAAAUGGCAAUAACUCUUUGUGUAAGAAACACUGUGUUGAGGCUUACAGAUUGCUAAAAGGGAUCUCCAGAGGUUAUCUGAUUGAUUUCUUUGGCAUAGGCCUGGUGAGUUAUCUUUAAGUCUUUUUUCUCUGUCUUCUGUGGAUGCAGGAAACAAAUGAUGACUGUAGAACAUCCACUUCAUAUAUGGUAUUUGAAAACAGCAUGCUUUAACCUUCAUUUUUCUAGGCUUUAAAAAACUCAUUAUCACCUUAAACCACUCCAAAUUUCAGGCAAUAAAUAUGACAUGUAACUUUACCUUUUUGCUUUGUUUUGUUUUUCACUGCUGAACUACCCCCUCACCUCUUUUCUUUUUUUGAGACCAGGUCUGUCGCCCAGGCUAGAGCUCAGUGGUGCAAACACAGCUCACAGCAGUCUUGACCUCCCAGGCUCGGGUGAUCCUCCCACCUCAGUGUCCUGGGUAGCUCGGACUGCAGACAUGCCACCACACCUGGCUAAUUUUUUCUAUUUUUAUAGAGAUGGGGUUUCACUAUGUUGCCCAGGCUAGUCUCAACCUCCCGGGCUCACAGGAUCCUCCCGCCUUGGCCUCCCAAAGUGUUGGGAAUAUAGGUGUGAGCCCCUGCUCCCAGCCCCUCACCUUUUUAAAGUCUCAUUUGUCCUCAACUAGCAUCCUUUUUCCCCCUCAUGUGGCCUUUUCUCCACCUGCCCAUGGACUCCUGACUGCCACUGUGCUGUGUGUACUACGUAAUGAGGCCUUUGUGUUUGCUGUUUCCUCUGCCUGUAGUGCUCUUGCCACUGGUAUCGGUAUAGCUGGCUUCCUCAUUGACAUCAGGUCCUUACACAAAAUUUCCUUCUCAAUAAGCCUUUCUCUGGCCUCCCUAUCUAAAAUUAGAGUGUUCCUGCACCUUUCCCUCGCAAGAGAAACACAUUCAAUCUUUUUUCCCUGUUUUAUUUUUCUCCUUUUCUUAGGUUAGGGACCUGACGCAGCCACCCUGUGUUCUGUAUUUGGGAGUUUUUAUACCUGACUCUUCAUUUCUAUCAUUAAAAUUCCACUUACAUUUUUUUCUUUUAAUGAUAUUAAUGAUAGCCCAAGUAUCCUUUGAAAGAUGAGGGCAGUGCCACCUGCAUUCAGGUGUGAGUCUCUUGAGUAGGAAGUUUAAUCAAUUGAAUUACCCCAGGCGCUCUCACCCUUAUAGGGACAGCCCUGCUUAUCACUCUCUAACAUAUAUUUUUUCUAUUUAUCAUGUAUAUCAUGUUUAUCAACUCUCUCACUAGAAUGUAAGCUCCCCAAGGCAGGGAGUUUUGUUGCUUCUGCUCAUGACUAUAUGCUCAGGGCUUAGAAUAGUGCCUGGCAUAUAUAUUCUCAAUAAAUAUCUGUUGACUGAAUAAGUGAACAUUGUUCAUUUAUUUGCAUGCUUGUAUCUCUUUAUACUGUAGAAUCUUUGAGGAGCUUUGAAUAAAGCUAGUCAAUAAUAUAUGAAUUUUUGGAUCACUUACUGUGGACCAAUGCCUAUCACAGCGCCUUGCAUAAAGUUUAAACCAUAAAUACUUAUUUAAAGGGAUGAAUAAAAAAGUAAAAAUCUAAUGACCUUUUAACCAUGUACCAAGUCUAGGCAAAAAUAUUACAGAAAUGAAAAUUGUGUUUAUCACUCAUUUAUACAGAUUUUUUUAUAGCACAUUGCAUUUAUUGAGCCCUCUCUCAGUAAUGCCCCUCUGCAGGGACCAGGCUGGGGGAGGCAUCCUUUGUGGGCUUCACCUUCUAGGUGAUGUUCCAGCAGCCCUUUGUAACUUGACCCUGAUAGACAGCCUUCUGGGAGAUAGUGUGUGGUAGUGUACAUCAAAGUUUUAAACAUGCAUGUAGUCUUUGACACAGAAAUUCCAUUUCUAGAAAUAUAUCCUAUUAAUCAGAUAAAGGAAUAUACAAAGAUAAGUGGACAAAGAUUUAUAGCAAUAUUUAUAAGAUAGAAAAACUGGAAACUACUAUGCAGCCAUAUAUUAGAAAGUAUGAUAUAUACAAACAUCAUUUUAUAAUGGGAUAUGAAUUUUUAUAUAUAUAUAUAUAUAUAAGCUUAUAAAUAUAAAAUGGAUACUUCUGGUUAAAGAUGAUGGGGUAAAGGGAUUUUUACCUCAUCCCCUUUCUCAAAACAUUCACAACAAAAGGAAUUAUAAAAAGAAAAACAUUUUAUCUUCAAGGAAGCAGCUAUAACCCCUAACAUCAAAAUGGGACACCUACUCACUAAGUACUGUGAAAUGAGGAUUUUGGUAAAGGAAGAAGCUGAGAACUGGCAUAUGUUCUCUCAAAGCUAGAGACUUCAUUAAACGUGUCAUGGUUAUGAAAGGCUUAUCCAAGAGUCCCUUGUUUAGAUUGAAAAAGGCUGCAGGUGAGUCAGGAGGAUGGCGAAUGUCUCCAGAGAGCCUUGAGGUUAAUCACAGAAUGGCAGGGAAGAUGGAGCUGGAGGAGAAUCAGGCAGGAUACACCAGAGGAGACUGCUGGAGGUAAAGCAUGAUGAAAGAAGUUGUCUUAGCUCCAGCUGCUCUAACAAAAUACCAUAAACUGGGUAGCUGAAACAACAGACAUUUAUUUUCUCACUGCUCUGGAGGCAGGAAGUCUGAGAUCAGGGUGCUGGCAUAGUUUCUGGUGAACCCUUUCUUCCUAC
rnacentral:lncRNA from 1 species